CCAGGGAGUAAAAACGGCUCUCUGUGGUCCCCUGUCCACACCAGAAUGAAGCUCCUCCCAUCUGCCUCCACUGUCUCCACUCUGCCCAUCCCUAGAUGGCUUAGCAUCAGGCCCCUCCACCUCCUCUCCUCCACUUCCUCUUACUUCCUCUUGGGCUUUGGAAGCAUAGCCCUGAGUGGUUUCUAUUGGGAGUUAGUGGCAGCCGGCCCUCGCCCUGGUUUCUCUCCUCUUAUUUUUGAGCCUGACUGAAUUGUCCCAUCUCUGAACCCUCUGUGUCCUCUUCCAGUUUCAGGCAGGUUUUGAAAAACUCAAGAUUGGCCCUGGAAUCUGGAGUCUGAGACACCAAGACCACUCACACGGUCAAUUCCCCAGUCACCAAAUCUAUUUUUAUUGCCAGUAAGCCACUUCAGGUCAAGCUGAGCAGAGGGGGCUCAUUUUCAACAUGAAGGCCUUAAUUCUAGAUGUGGAGAGUCAGGAGACAUAUGCAGACUUACCCUCACUCCUUCCCACAGGUGUGCCCCUCUCCCGCCCCCCCCCCCAUCCCUCAGUUCCUUGGACUCUGGCCAGGGCUGUUUCAAGCCGCCCAGUCGAAUGCCUGCAAUGAUUCGUGCCUGCUGGGAAUGAGGCCCCCAAGGGCUAAAAGCUUUGCCUGGCACCAAAGGCUGAAAGACAGUCUAUGCCUUGAUACACUCUUUCAGCUCGAGCCCCUGGCUCAGUCUUUUCCAAGUACAUUCUUAAAGUCCGAGGGAACCUAAAGCCAAUCUGAGAAUAAACCCCCUUUAGGCGAAAAAAUGUAAAGAAACGUCGUCAGGGACCCUUUGUUUAGAAAUUUUGCAUUGGCAGGCUGGAAGGGGUUUCACCAGAAAAGGGGUUCCCCCCUGCCACAUGGAGGACACGGAAAGAAGGGGAGUCCCCACUAGAGGUGCAGCCUCUGAGUCUUAAACCGGACACCCGCCAGGGCCUCCCGCCAUCGCCUAAGCGAAAAUCCCGGAAACUGGCCGCUCUGGGAGAGGCAGGCACCGUGGAAAAGGUGACCUCAGCGCCCCAGACCAACCACCCUCCCGGGUGGCCUGGCAAUAGGGACUCCAGGCAGCAGGGGGUCCUCGGCGGUGCAAUUUCCUCGCCAAGAGGGGGCCCUCGAGCUGAAACGUCCCCUUUCCUACUUGCGAGCCCGAAGGAUCCCAGGGCUUCAGCCGGCCGUGCCGGGUAGAAGAGAGGAAUGGGUUACCCGAUGAAACAGCCUACCCCCAGAGCAUGAGUGUGAGAUGGAUUCCUACCACCUCCAGCCGCAGUUUCUUCCCCAAGCGCGCACAGGAGGGGCGGCAUUCUGGAGCCGAUCUACUCGGGAAGUGGUCCCUGAGCCACGAGGCAGAUAGAGCAGCCCAAGGCCAGGUCAGUGGCCAGCAUCAGGGUGCUUCUAAGUGGGGCUUCCCUCUAACCCUCUCCGGACCGUAAAGGUUUCUUUUUGUCUCCUUUCCCACUUGCAAUCGAUAUGUUUCUUACUCGGCAAAAUGAAUUUGAGACCGCGAGUGGCUGCAAGGAAGAUUUAUGAAAAUGCUCGCUUCACCUCUGGGUAUUGACAACCACCCGGCUGGGAUUCCGAUUUCCUUCCCCAGUCCACAGCAAACUCUGAGCUUCCCCAAGUUCGCCAUGCUCCCAGGGCGCUCUGGUUAAUCAGCUGUAAGGAGCAGCAUGAGAAGUCCGAAGGCCCAUACUUGGGGAGAGAAGACAGAUGAAUGGUGAUCAGUGUUGGAGAAGCCGAAGUCACCUGCUUAAGCUACGUCACCUUUCUCGAGUGCCAGGUCCAUUUCUUGUACACCAUUAACAGUUGUGGUGGUUAGUUUCAAUUGCCAACUUGCCAUCAACGAGGGAUGGUUUUGAUUGCCUUAAGCGAAGACCCAGCCUCAACACAGGCAGCAUCGUUCCUUGGUUUAGGGCUUUGGACUGUACGAGAGUAGAGAAACCUCGUUGAAAUCUAAGUAUGCAUGUUUUUAUUUCUUUUCGCUCUUCACUAUGGAUAUGACUAGUUGAUUUGGGUUCCAGCCAACUUCCUGCAACAAUGCAUUUUAACCUGAAUCUGUAAGCUGAAAUAAACCCUUUCUGCUCAAA